AAACAGUUAAAUAUAACUUUAAUAAUUGAUUCUACUGUGUGAUCUUGCAUCUGUCAAAAAGACAGUGUGCAAAAAACGGCAAAAUACAAAAUCUAGCUAAAAUUAUUAUGUGCUUCAGCUAUAUCACAUAUUUGCUGGUAAGAAACUUGCUAGUGAUGGGACGGUGUCUGGUUUGAUCCUGGACCUAACAAAUAAAUAGGCCUUUUUCACAGAGGAGAUUUUGAUCUCUCACAGUAUACAAAACAUAAAUGAAUGUAUGAUUCAUUCUA